rnacentral:rRNA from 1 species
GAAGGUUGGGUAACACUAACUGGAGGACCGAACCGACUAAUGUUGAAAAAUUAGCGGAUGACCUGUGGCUGGGGGUGAAAGGCCAAUCAAACCGGGAGAUAGCUGGUUCUCCCCGAAAGCUAUUUAGGUAGCGCCUCGUGAAUUCAUCUCCGGGGGUAGAGCACUGUUUCGGCUAGGGGGCCAUCCCGGCUUACCAACCCGAUGCAAACUGCGAAUACCGGAGAAUGUUAUCACGGGAGACACACGGCGGGUGCUAACGUCCGUCGUGAAGAGGGAAACAACCCAGACCGCCAGCUAAGGUCCCAAAGUCAUGGUUAAGUGGGAAACGAUGUGGGAAGGCCCAGACAGCCAGGAUGUUGGCUUAGAAGCAGCCAUCAUUUAAAGAAAGCGUAAUAGCUCACUGGUCGAGUCGGCCUGCGCGGAAGAUGUAACGGGGCUAAACCAUGCACCGAAGCUGCGGCAGCGACACUGUGUGUUGUUGGGUAGGGGAGCGUUCUGUAAGCCUGCGAAGGUGGCCUGUGAGGGUUGCUGGAGGUAUCAGAAGUGCGAAUGCUGACAUAAGUAACGAUAAAGCGGGUGAAAAGCCCGCUCGCCGGAAGACCAAGGGUUCCUGUCCAACGUUAAUCGGGGCAGGGUGAGUCGACCCCUAAGGCGAGGCCGAAAGGCGUAGUCGAUGGGAAACGGGUUAAUAUUCCCGUACUUGGUGUUACUGCGAAGGGGGGACGGAGAAGGCUAUGUUGGCCGGGCGACGGUUGUCCCGGUUUAAGCGUGUAGGUGUGUGUUCCAGGUAAAUCCGGUUCACUUUAACACUGAGGCGUGACGACGAGGCACUACGGUGCUGAAGCAACAAAUGCCCUGCUUCCAGGAAAAGCCUCUAAGCAUCAGGUAACAUCAAAUCGUACCCCAAACCGACACAGGUGGUCAGGUAGAGAAUACCAAGGCGCUUGAGAGAACUCGGGUGAAGGAACUAGGCAAAAUGGUGCCGUAACUUCGGGAGAAGGCACGCUGACACGUAGGUGAAGUGAUUUACUCAUGGAGCUGAAGUCAGUCGAAGAUACCAGCUGGCUGCAACUGUUUAUUAAAAACACAGCACUGUGCAAACACGAAAGUGGACGUAUACGGUGUGACGCCUGCCCGGUGCCGGAAGGUUAAUUGAUGGGGUCAGCGCAAGCGAAGCUCCUGAUCGAAGCCCCGGUAAACGGCGGCCGUAACUAUAACGGUCCUAAGGUAGCGAAAUUCCUUGUCGGGUAAGUUCCGACCUGCACGAAUGGCGUAAUGAUGGCCAGGCUGUCUCCACCCGAGACUCAGUGAAAUUGAACUCGCUGUGAAGAUGCAGUGUACCCGCGGCAAGACGGAAAGACCCCGUGAACCUUUACUAUAGCUUGACACUGAACAUUGAGCCUUGAUGUGUAGGAUAGGUGGGAGGCUUUGAAGUGUGGACGCCAGUCUGCAUGGAGCCGACCUUGAAAUACCACCCUUUAAUGUUUGAUGUUCUAACGUGGACCCGUUACCCGGGUUGCGGACAGUGUCUGGUGGGUAGUUUGACUGGGGCGGUCUCCUCCUAAAGAGUAACGGAGGAGCACGAAGGUUGGCUAAUCCUGGUCGGACAUCAGGAGGUUAGUGCAAUGGCAUAAGCCAGCUUGACUGCGAGCGUGACGGCGCGAGCAGGUGCGAAAGCAGGUCAUAGUGAUCCGGUGGUUCUGAAUGGAAGGGCCAUCGCUCAACGGAUAAAAGGUACUCCGGGGAUAACAGGCUGAUACCGCCCAAGAGUUCAUAUCGACGGCGGUGUUUGGCACCUCGAUGUCGGCUCAUCACAUCCUGGGGCUGAAGUAGGUCCCAAGGGUAUGGCUGUUCGCCAUUUAAAGUGGUACGCGAGCUGGGUUUAGAACGUCGUGAGACAGUUCGGUCCCUAUCUGCCGUGGGCGCUGGAGAACUGAGGGGGGCUGCUCCUAGUACGAGAGGACCGGAGUGGACGCAUCACUGGUGUUCGGGUUGUCAUGCCAAUGGCACUGCCCGGUAGCUAAAUGCGGAAGAGAUAAGUGCUGAAAGCAUCUAAGCACGAAACUUGCCCCGAG